rnacentral:lncRNA from 1 species
GCCACUUCUUCUUUUGCUAUGUCUUAAAUGGAAAAAAAUCAGAAGGUUCCAAAUCAACGCCAUUUUGUAAUGGCAGCUCUACAUAUAAGUAGUCAACAUUGUCGUUUUAACAUCGUUUAUAGCAUUUGCUUAUGAUUGAAUCGUUUUUGUAGCAUUCUAUUGAAUAAAUAUCAGAAUAUUUUUCCUUUUUGUCCUUGUGGUUGAAAUAUUGAUAUUUUUAGGUCUGACCUUUGACCUCAAUUUCACAAAAUUGUGACCACUCUGGAUUUUUACGACCCAACUUUUCUUAUUGUACAUGUUUUCCUCUUUCCAUCGAUAUAUAAUUUAGGUGUGUGUUCAUCCGGACCAUUAAAGUUUUAAAAAAUCAACUCUGGUUGCAGUACUAA